GCCAGGUGUGGUGGUGCACACCUGUAAUCCCAGUGACUAGGGAGGCUAAGGUAGGAGGAUCACGAGUUCAAAGCCAGCCUCAGCAAAACUGAGGCACAAAACAACUCAGUGAGACCCUGUCUUU
rnacentral:sRNA from 1 species